rnacentral:sRNA from 1 species
GUCUUGCGUGAGGGAUAGAAGCGGUAUCCUUUUUUUUCAGAGGGAAAAGGAAGGGCAAAAAAAGAUUUAGCGUACAGCCCGACCUGAA